rnacentral:rRNA from 1 species
UACGUAGGUGGCAAGCGUUGUCCGGAAUUAUUGGGCGUAAAGCGCUCGCAGGCGGCUCGAUGCGUCGUGCGUGAAACACCCCGGCUCAACUGGGGAGGGUCGUGCGAUACGGUCGAGCUUGAGGCCAGUAGGGGGAUGCGGAAUUCCGGGUGUAGUGGUGGAAUGCGUAGAGAUCCGGAGGAACACCAGCGGCGAAGGCGGCAUCCUGGACUGGUACUGACGCUCAGGAGCGAAAGCGUGGGGAGCGAUCCGG